rnacentral:rRNA from 2 species
UAUCCUUUGUUGCCAGCGGUUCGGCCGGGAACUCAAAGGAGACUGCCAGUGAUAAACUGGAGGAAGGUGGGGAUGACGUCAAGUCAUCAUGGCCCUUACGACCAGGGCUACACACGUGCUACAAUGGCAUAUACAAAGAGAAGCGACCUCGCGAGAGCAAGCGGACCUCAUAAAGUAUGUCGUAGUCCGGAUUGGAGUCUGCAACUCGACUCCAUGAAGUCGGAAUCGCUAGUAAUCGUAGAUCAGAAUGCUACGGUGAAUACGUUCCCGGGCCUUGUACACACCGCCCGUCACACCAUGGGAGUGGGUUGCAAAAGAAGUAGGUAGCUUAACCUUCGGGAGGGCGCUUACCACUUUGUGAUUCAUGACUGGGGUGAAGUCGUAACAAGGUAACCGUAGGGGAACCUGCGGUUGGAUCACCUCCUU